AGUUCUGCUCUUGUCGCCCAGGCUGGAGUACAGUGGCACGAUUUUGGCUCACUACAACCUCUGCCUCCCAGGUUCAAGCGAUUCUCCUGCCUCAGCCUCCUGAGCAGCUGGGAUUACAGGUGCCCGCCAUCACGCCCAGCUGAUUUUUGUAUUUUUAGUAGAGACGGGGUUUCACCAUGUUGGCCAGGCUGGUCUUGAACUCUUGACCUCAGGUGAUCCACCCGCCUCGGCCUCCCAAAGUGCUGGGAUUACAGGCGUGAGCCAC
rnacentral:lncRNA from 10 species